AACAGGAAGCAGCUUGCUGCUUCGCUGACGAGUGGCGGACGGGUGAGUAAUGUCUGGGAAACUGCCUGAUGGAGGGGGAUAACUACUGGAAACGGUGGCUAAUACCGCAUAACGUCGCAAGACCAAAGAGGGGGACCUUCGGGCCUCUUGCCAUCAGAUGUGCCCAGAUGGGAUUAGCUUGUUGGUGAGGUAACGGCUCACCAAGGCGACGAUCCCUAGCUGGUCUGAGAGGAUGACCAGCCACACUGGAACUGAGACACGGUCCAGACUCCUACGGGAGGCAGCAGUGGGGAAUAUUGCACAAUGGGCGCAAGCCUGAUGCAGCCAUGCCGCGUGUAUGAAGAAGGCCUUCGGGUUGUAAAGUACUUUCAGCGGGGAGGAAGGUGUUGUGGUUAAUAACCGCAGCAAUUGACGUUACCCGCAGAAGAAGCACCGGCUAACUCCGUGCCAGCAGCCGCGGUAAUACGGAGGGUGCAAGCGUUAAUCGGAAUUACUGGGCGUAAAGCGCACGCAGGCGGUCUGUCAAGUCGGAUGUGAAAUCCCCGGGCUCAACCUGGGAACUGCAUUCGAAACUGGCAGGCUUGAGUCUUGUAGAGGGGGGUAGAAUUCCAGGUGUAGCGGUGAAAUGCGUAGAGAUCUGGAGGAAUACCGGUGGCGAAGGCGGCCCCCUGGACAAAGACUGACGCUCAGGUGCGAAAGCGUGGGGAGCAAACAGGAUUAGAUACCCUGGUAGUCCACGCCGUAAACGAUGUCUACUUGGAGGUUGUGCCCUUGAGGCGUGGCUUCCGGAGCUAACGCGUUAAGUAGACCGCCUGGGGAGUACGGCCGCAAGGUUAAAACUCAAAUGAAUUGACGGGGGCCCGCACAAGCGGUGGAGCAUGUGGUUUAAUUCGAUGCAACGCGAAGAACCUUACCUGGUCUUGACAUCCACAGAACUUUCCAGAGAUGGAUUGGUGCCUUCGGGAACUGUGAGACAGGUGCUGCAUGGCUGUCGUCAGCUCGUGUUGUGAAAUGUUGGGUUAAGUCCCGCAACGAGCGCAACCCUUAUCCUUUGUUGCCAGCGGUCCGGCCGGGAACUCAAAGGAGACUGCCAGUGAUAAACUGGAGGAAGGUGGGGAUGACGUCAAGUCAUCAUGGCCCUUACGACCAGGGCUACACACGUGCUACAAUGGCGCAUACAAAGAGAAGCGACCUCGCGAGAGCAAGCGGACCUCAUAAAGUGCGUCGUAGUCCGGAUUGGAGUCUGCAACUCGACUCCAUGAAGUCGGAAUCGCUAGUAAUCGUGGAUCAGAAUGCCACGGUGAAUACGUUCCCGGGCCUUGUACACACCGCCCGUCACACCAUGGGAGUGGGUUGCAAAAGAAGUAGGUAGCUUAACCUUCGGGAGGGCGCUUACCACUUUGUGAUUCAUGACUGGGGUGAAGUCGUAACAAGGUAACCGUAGGGGAACCUGCGGUUGGAUCACCUCCUUACCUUAAAGAA
rnacentral:rRNA from 1 species